rnacentral:rRNA from 1 species
GAUGAACGCUGGCGGCGUGCCUAAUACAUGCAAGUCGAGCGAACAGAUGAGGAGCUUGCUCCUCUGACGUUAGCGGCGGACGGGUGAGUAACACGUGGAUAACCUACCUAUAAGACUGGGAUAACUUCGGGAAACCGGAGCUAAUACCGGAUAAUAUAUUGAACCGCAUGGUUCAAUAGUGAAAGACGGUUUUGCUGUCACUUAUAGAUGGAUCCGCGCCGCAUUAGCUAGUUGGUAAGGUAACGGCUUACCAAGGCAACGAUGCGUAGCCGACCUGAGAGGACGACAAGCCACACUGGAACUGAGACACGGCCCAGACUCCUACGGGAGGCAGCAGUGGGGAAUGUUGCACAAUGGGCGAAAGCCUGACGGAGCAACGCCGCGUGAGGGAUGAAGGUCUUCGGAUCGUAAACCUCUUUUGUCAGGGAAGAAAAGAUGUGUAAGAAAAUAUGCGCGUCAUGACGGUACCUGAUCAAAAAGCAACGGCUAACUACGUG